rnacentral:rRNA from 1 species
UACGUAGGGAGCAAGCGUUGUCCGGAAUCAUUGGGCGUAAAGCGCGCGUAGGUGGCUUCGUAAGUCCGUUGUGAAAGUCAAAGGCUCAACCUUUGAAAGCCGAUGGAUACUGCGGAGCUAGAGUACGGAAGAGGCGAGUGGAAUUCCUGGUGUAGCGGUGGAAUGCGCAGAUAUCGGAAGGAACACCGGUGGCGAAAGCGGCGCGCGUGGAUCCCUACUCGACGCUGAGGCACGAAAGCCAGGGAGCAAACGGG